AGUGAACGCUGGCGGUAGGCCUAACACAUGCAAGUCGAACGGCAGCACAGUAAGAGCUUGCUCUUACGGGUGGCGAGUGGCGGACGGGUGAGGAAUACAUCGGAAUCUACUUUUUCGUGGGGGAUAACGUAGGGAAACUUACGCUAAUACCGCAUACGACCUACGGUUGAAAGCAGGGGAUCUUCGUACCUUGCGCGAUUGAAUGAGCCGAUGUCGGAUUAGCUAGUUGGCGGGGUAAAUGCCCACCAAGGCGACGAUCCGUAGCUGGUCUGAGAGGAUGAUCAGCCACACUGGAACUGAGACACGGUCCAGACUCCUACGGGAGGCAGCAGUGGGGAAUAUUGGACAAUGGGCGCAAGCCUGAUCCAGCCAUACCGCGUGGGCGAAGAAGGCCUUCGGGUUGUAAAGCCCUUUUGUUGGGAAAGAAAAGCAGCAGGUUAAUACCCCGCUGUUCUGACGGUACCAAAAGAAUAAGCACCGGCUAACUUCGUG
rnacentral:rRNA from 1 species